AGCAGCCGCGGUAAUUCCAGCUCCAAUAGCGUAUAUUAAAGUUGUUGCAGUUAAAAAGCUCGUAGUUGAAUUUCGGGAUUAAUAUGUUGGUCGUGCCUUGGUACGUACUGGCAUUAUUGAUUCCUACCUUCUGAAGAACCUCGAUGUCAUUAAUUUGGUGUCUUGGGGAAUCAGGACCGUUACUUUGAAAAAAUUAGAGUGUUUAAAGCAGGCUCGCGCUUGAAUACAUUAGCAUGGAAUAAUGAAAUAGGACGUUUGAUUCUAUUUUGUUGGUUUCUAGGAUCGACGUAAUGAUUAAUAGGGAUAGUUGGGGGCAUUAGUAUUCAAUUGUCAGAGGUGAAAUUCUUGGAUUUAUUGAAGACUGACUACUGCGAAAGCAUUUGCCAAGGAUGUUUUCAUUAAUCAAGAACGAAAGUUAGGGGAUCGAAGACGAUCAGAUACCGUCGUAGUCUUAACCAUAAACUAUGCCGACUAGGGAUCGGAUGAUGUUAAUUUUUUAAUGACUCAUUCGGCGCCUUAA
rnacentral:misc_RNA from 1 species